GUGGAUUAGAUACCCUAGUAGUCCACGCCUUAAACGAUGAGAGCUAGUUGUCAGUAAGCAUGCUUAUUGGUGACGCAGCUAACGCAUUAAGCUCUCCGCCUGGGGAGUACGGCCGCAAGGUUAAAACUCAAAGAAAUUGACGGGGGCCCGCACAAGCGGUGGAGCAUGUGGUUUAAUUCGAAGCAACGCGCAGAACCUUACCCACCUUUGACAUCCCGUGCUAUCUAGAGAGAUCUAGAGUCCCUUCGGGGCGCGGAGACAGGUGCUGCACGGCCGUCGACAACU
rnacentral:rRNA from 1 species